rnacentral:rRNA from 1 species
GGGGAAUAUUGGGCAAUGGGGGAAACCCUGACCCAGCAACGCCGCGUGAAGGAAGAAGGCUUUCGGGUUGUAAACUUCUUUGACGAGGGACGAAAGAAAUGACGGUACCUCGAAAACAAGCCACGGCUAACUACGUGCCAGCAGCCGCGGUAAUACGUAGGUGGCAAGCGUUGUCCGGAUUUACUGGGUGUAAAGGGCGCGUAGGCGGGAUAGCAAGUCAGAUGUGAAAUGCCAGGGCUUAACCCUGGAGCUGCAUUUGAAACUGCUGUUCUUGAGUAUCGGAGAGGCAGGCGGAAUUCCUAGUGUAGCGGUGAAAUGCGUAGAUAUUAGGAGGAACACCAGUGGCGAAGGCGGCCUGCUGGACGACAACUGACGCUGAUGCGCGAAAGCGUGGGGAGCAAACA